GCCCUGGAAGCACGAAGGAUGUGUAGCCGCCUUCUAUGCGGUCGGGUGCCGGUUCGAGUCCGGCCCAGGGUG
rnacentral:tRNA from 1 species